rnacentral:rRNA from 2 species
AUGCAAGUCGAGCGAAUGGAUUAAGAGCUUGCUCUUAUGAAGUUAGCGGCGGACGGGUGAGUAACACGUGGGUAACCUACCCAUAAGACUGGGAUAACUCCGGGAAACCGGGGCUAAUACCGGAUAAUAUUUUGAACUGCAUAGUUCGAAAUUGAAAGGCGGCUUCGGCUGUCACUUAUGGAUGGACCCGCGUCGCAUUAGCUAGUUGGUGAGGUAACGGCUCACCAAGGCGACGAUGCGUAGCCGACCUGAGAGGGUGAUCGGCCACACUGGGACUGAGACACGGCCCAGACUCCUACGGGAGGCAGCAGUAGGGAAUCUUCCGCAAUGGACGAAAGUCUGACGGAGCAACGCCGCGUGAGUGAUGAAGGCUUUCGGGUCGUAAAACUCUGUUGUUAGGGAAGAACAAGUGCUAGUUGAAUAAGCUGGCACCUUGACGGUACCUAACCAGAAAGCCACGGCUAACUACGUGCCAGCAGCCGCGGUAAUACGUAGGUGGCAAGCGUUAUCCGGAAUUAUUGGGCGUAAAGCGCGCGCAGGUGGUUUCUUAAGUCUGAUGUGAAAGCCCACGGCUCAACCGUGGAGGGUCAUUGGAAACUGGGAGACUUGAGUGCAGAAGAGGAAAGUGGAAUUCCAUGUGUAGCGGUGAAAUGCGUAGAGAUAUGGAGGAACACCAGUGGCGAAGGCGACUUUCUGGUCUGUAACUGACACUGAGGCGC